rnacentral:rRNA from 1 species
UACGAAGGGGGCUAGCGUUGCUCGGAAUUACUGGGCGUAAAGGGCGCGUAGGCGGCACUGUUAGUCAGGCGUGAAAGUCCUGGGCUCAACCUGGGAACUGCGCUUGAUACGGCAGAGCUAGAGGAUGGAAGAGGCUCGCGGAAUUCCCAGUGUAGAGGUGAAAUUCGUAGAUAUUCGCAAGAACACCAGUGGCGAAGGCGGCCAACUGGUCCGGUACUGACGCUGAGGUGCGAAAGCGUGGGGAGCAAACAGG